AAAGAGAUUUAGCUAGAUAAGGGAAGGGGCGGAUGUAGCCAAGUGGAUCAAGGCAGUGGAUUGUGAAUCCACCAUGCGCGAA
rnacentral:tRNA from 1 species